rnacentral:tRNA from 1 species
GCUAGGUAGCACAGUGGAUAGAGUGCCAGACUUGGAAUCUGAAGGACCCAAGUUCUAAUCUGGUCUUAGACA